rnacentral:rRNA from 1 species
UACGAAGGGGGCUAGCGUUGCUCGGAAUUAUUGGGCGUAAAGGGCUCGUAGGCGGUCUGUUGCGUCGGGAGUGAAAACUUACAGCUUAACUGUGAGCGUGCUUCCGAUACGGGCAGACUUGAGGUAUUCAGGGGAGAACGGAAUUCCUGGUGUAGCGGUGAAAUGCGCAGAUAUCAGGAGGAACACCGGUGGCGAAGGCGGUUCUCUGGGAAUAUCCUGACGCUGAGGAGCGAAAGUGUGGGGAGCGAACAGG